AUAGAGCCUUAGUAGUAUAA
rnacentral:tRNA from 1 species